GACGAACGCUGGCGGCGUGCUUAACACAUGCAAGUCGAACGAUGAAACCUAGCUUGCUAGGUCGAUUAGUGGCGAACGGGUGAGUAACACGUGACUAACCUGCCCCUUUCUCUGGGAUAACGCUCCGAAAGGAGUGCUAAUACCGGAUACUCACACCGAGGCACAUGCCUUGGGGUGGAAAGUUUUUCGGAAAGGGAUGGAGUCGCGGCCUAUCAGCUUGUUGGUGGGGUAACGGCUCACCAAGGCGACGACGGGUAGCCGGCCUGAGAGGGCGACCGGCCACACUGGGACUGAGACACGGCCCAGACUCCUACGGGAGGCAGCAGUGGGGAAUAUUGCACAAUGGGCGCAAGCCUGAUGCAGCGGCGCCGCGUGAGGGAUGAAGGUCUUCGGAUUGUAAACCUCUUUCAGUAAGGACGAAGCGAAAGUGACGGUAGGUGCAGAAGAAGGACCGGCCAACUACGUGCCAGCAGCCGCCGUA
rnacentral:rRNA from 1 species